UACAUUUCAAUAAGUCUCUGACUCUGAGGGUUUUAUUAAGGAAACCAGAUCUGAGUUGAAAACCCGAGAUCGAUGUAAAGCAAUUUCAUCUCUUCAAAUUGAUUUUCACUCUCUUCAGAUUGGUUUCCAUUCGGUCAGAAUCGAGAAAUUUAGCAUUUUUUUUUUUUUUGGGGAAA